rnacentral:misc_RNA from 1 species
GAUGAAGAACGUAGCGAAAUGCGAUACGUAAUGUGAAUUGCAGAAUUCAGUGAAUCAUCGAAUCUUUGAACGCAUAUUGCGCUCUUUGGUAUUCCGAAGAGCAUGCUUGUUUGAGUAUCAGUAAACACCUCAAAGCUUUUGGAUUUUUUAAUCGAAAAGCUUUGGACUUGAGCAAUCCCAACACCAAUCUUUUUGAGAUCGGUGGCGGGUUGCUUGAAAUGCAGGUGCAGCUGGACAUUCUCCUGAGCUAAAAGCAUAUUCAUUUAGUCCCGUCAAACGGAUUAUUACUUUUGCUGCAGCUAACAUAAAGGGAGUUUGACCGUAUUGGCUGACUGAUGCAGGAUUUCACAAGGGUCGACAACGAUUCUUGUUAAACUCGAUCUCAAAUCAAGUAAGACUACCCGCUGAACUUAAGCAUAUCAAUAAGCGGAGGA